CGUGCCUAACACAUGCAAGUCGAGCGGAGAUGAUGUGAGGAAGUUUUCGGAUGGAAUCACAUUAUUUAGCGGCGGACGGGUGAGUAACGCGUGAGCGACCAACCUUGCACAGGGGGAUAACGGACCGAAAGGUUCACUAAUACCGCAUGAGACCACGGUGUUGCAUGACACAGGGGUCAAAGGAGGAAUCCGGUGCAAGACGGGCUCGCGUCCGAUUAGGUAGUUGGAGGGGUAACGGCCCACCAAGCCUAUGAUCGGUAGCCGACCUGAGAGGGUGAUCGGCCACAUUGGAACUGAGAUACGGUCCAAACUCCUACGGGAGGCAGCAGUGGGGAAUAUUGGGCAAAUGGGGGAAACCCUGACCCAGCAACGCCGCGUGAAGGAAGAAGGUUUUCGGAUUGUAAACUUCUGUCCUUGGUGAAGAGAAGAAGACGGUAGCCAAGGAGGAAGCCCCGGCUAACUACGUGCCAGCAGCCGC
rnacentral:rRNA from 1 species